rnacentral:misc_RNA from 1 species
UCAUACCAUGGAGGCACUUGGGUUGUUGCUGACCUUUCCAAAAGGUUGUGCAUGCCCAAGCGCUUUCAAUCCAUUUCACCCUUUGUGCAUCACCACACAGGGUCUCUUCUGAGAGGCUCGCAUUUUUCAUACAAACAUGUUUAUAGUCAGUUUAGAAUGUCACUUAUUUGCAAUCACACACAAUCAAUA